rnacentral:rRNA from 1 species
UGCAAGUCGAGCGGACAGAUGGGAGCUUGCUCCCUGAUGUUAGCGGCGGACGGGUGAGUAACACGUGGGUAACCUGCCUGUAAGACUGGGAUAACUCCGGGAAACCGGGGCUAAUACCGGAUGGUUGUUUGAACCGCAUGGUUCAAACAUAAAAGGUGGCUUCGGCUACCACUUACAGAUGGACCCGCGGCGCAUUAGCUAGUUGGUGAGGUAACGGCUCACCAAGGCAACGAUGCGUAGCCGACCUGAGAGGGUGAUCGGCCACACUGGGACUGAGACACGGCCCAGACUCCUACGGGAGGCAGCAGUAGGGAAUCUUCCGCAAUGGACGAAAGUCUGACGGAGCAACGCCGCGUGAGUGAUGAAGGUUUUCGGAUCGUAAAGCUCUGUUGUUAGGGAAGAACAAGUACCGUUCGAAUAGGGCGGUACCUUGACGGUACCUAACCAGAAAGCCACGGCUAACUACGUGCCAGCAGCCGCGGUAAUACGUAGGUGGCAAGCGUUGUCCGGAAUUAUUGGGCGUAAAGGGCUCGCAGGCGGUUUCUUAAGUCUGAUGUGAAAGCCCCCGGCUCAACCGGGGAGGGUCAUUGGAAACUGGGGAACUUGAGUGCAGAAGAGGAGAGUGGAAUUCCACGUGUAGCGGUGAAAUGCGUAGAGAUGUGGAGGAACACCAGUGGCGAAGGCGACUCUCUGGUCUGUAACUGACGCUGAGGAGCGAAAGCGUGGGGAGCGAACAGGAUUAGAUACCCUG